rnacentral:rRNA from 1 species
GUAGGUGGCAAGCGUUGUCCGGAAUUAUUGGGCGUAAAGCGCGCGCAGGCGGUUCUUUAAGUCUGAUGUGAAAGCCCACGGCUCAACCGUGGAGGGUCAUUGAAACUGGAGAACUUGAGUACAGAAGAGGAAAGCGGAAUUCCACGUGUAGCGGUGAAAUGCGUAGAGAUGUGGAGGAACACCAGUGGCGAAGGCGGCUUUCUGGUCUGUAACUGACGCUGAGGCGCGAAAGCGUGGGGAGCAAACAGGAUUAGAUACCCUGGUAGUCCACGCCGUAAACGAUGAGUGCUAAGUGUUAGGGGGGUUUCCGCCCCCCUUAGUGCUGCAGCUAACGCAUUAAGCACUCCGCCUGGGAGUACGGCCGCAAGGCUG